rnacentral:lncRNA from 1 species
UCCAACCAUGUUGUGACACGUGGCAUACGUUUCACAACCAAACCGUGUUACUUGUUACUAGUUUCUAUCUUAUGGCUGUUCCACAAGUUUCAUUCAAAUAAUCAGAUCGCAUCUAUUCUUCCCUUCAAUCUUUCUUCCAAAAUUAAAUAUUCUUUCCUAAUCAUUAAGUGGCAACGCCCAAUCCAAUCUCUCUUCAGUUUCUGUGUUGCAGACGGUGCUUCCUUCACUAACAUCAUCAGUAACAGGUACGCAAUUAGCAAUUUCUUAAUUCAAUUUCUUUCUUCCGAUUCAUCACCUUUUCAAUUUGUUAUUUCCCCCCUUCUAAGGUGUCCCCAGCAAUCUAUAUACUCAAAACAAUGAGUGAAAUUCCAAAAAACUAUAAUCAUAUCUAUAAUAUGUUAAUUAUCAACUUAUUUGUACUCAGUAAUUUUUUUUAUUUUUGAUUUUUGGUAUAAAAUUCAUCUAUGGGUCAAUCAAUCCUGUUUCAGUUAAGUGCAGUUUUUUUUUUCUAUUUCUCUAGUUUGGAAAAUUAAAUUGGAAAUCACGAAUAUUAGAAGCUAUAAAUAUGUACCUAUGCUAUGUAUUUGGUUGUUGUGGCUUUAUGUUCUGAGGAAUGAAGAUGGCAUGUCGUAGGUAUUAUAAAUAAAGAUAAAGACAAGAAAAAGUAAAGUUGAGAAAUGGGGUUCGUGAUGGUUAUAUCGUUGCCCUUAAUAUUGUUCAUCUUGAUCCUGGCUUUGGCAUGUUACCUGUUGGGCCGGGCCAAGGGUCGACGACAACAGCCACAACAAUAUGGGCCUCCCGCUCCUCCACCACAGGCCCAACCCAGAUAGCCAUUUGUCAUUACUGUUAGUUCCUCUGGGGUUUGUGUUUGUUCAUCAUCAACACUCAACAGUACUGUGCACCCACUUUGGAUUGUAGUUUGAAAACUGUUGUGUAAUUAUAAUUAUAAACAUAUACACAGUUUUUUUUUUUUUGGUAAAAUGACUAUCUACAUAAUAGUUGAUGAAAAACUAGUGUGAUAGAAUCUUACUAUUCUUGACUUAAUCUUGAAUAAAAUGUUAGAGCAUUGAAAUUUAUUUCCCCAUUAGUGGGUAUGUUUGGUGAUUCAGAUUAUGCCUUGAGAAAAAAAUUGUAUCAGUAGUGGUUGGUGCUUACUAUUAUGAACAUCUUCACCUAUUAGUUACAAUGAAUUUGUAGAUGGUCGAGCUGCCAAUGAAUUUGUAGAUGGUCGAGCUGCCAAUGAACUCCUAAACCAAAGCAAAUAACUUGAUUUCUAUGUUCUCUCUUCA